UACCUUGCAAGUUAGACGUUCUAACUUUACUGAUCCAUGCUUGAGGAUGAUGUUGUAAGCCACACACAUGUUUGACCUCUAGGAGUCAUCCACAUGAGCCCACGAAUCACGAUCAGAAGUCUUGAUCCAGAAAAUCAGUACAGUAUGCUAGUACUGUGCUGAUCCUUCUUUGAUAGUUGAUCAGAUACCUCCUUCUUCUUGAUUUGGACUCUUUCAAAGAUGAGAAGUAGGAUAAAGAGUUUUAGAUGUAAGACACUCUAAGAAAACUCACAGAU
rnacentral:lncRNA from 1 species